rnacentral:rRNA from 1 species
AGGACGAACGCUGGCGGCGUGCUUAACACAUGCAAGUCGAGCGGAAAGGCCCUUCGGGGUACUCGAGCGGCGAACGGGUGAGUAACACGUGAGUAACCUGCCCUAGGCUUUGGGAUAACCCUCGGAAACGGGGGCUAAUACCGGAUAUUCACUGCUGAUCGCAUGGUUGGUGGUGGAAAGUUUUCGGUCUGGGAUGGGCUCGCGGCCUAUCAGCUUGUUGGUGGGGUGAUGGCCUACCAAGGCGACGACGGGUA